UACGAAGGGGGCUAGCGUUGCUCGGAAUCACUGGGCGUAAAGCGCACGUAGGCGGAUUGCUAAGUCAGGGGUGAAAUCCUGGAGCUCAACUCCAGAACUGCCCUUGAUACUGGCGGUCUCGAGUCCGGGAGAGGUGAGUGGAACUGCGAGUGUAGGAGGUGAAAUUCGUAGAUAUUCGCAAGAACACCAGUGGCGAAGGCGGCUCACUGGCCCGGUACUGACGCUGAGGAGCGAAAGCGUGGGGAGCCGAACAGG
rnacentral:rRNA from 1 species